rnacentral:SRP_RNA from 1 species
GCCAGGCGUGGUGGCGUGCACCUGUAAUCCCAGCUACUCAGGAGGCUGAGGCAGGAGAAUUGCUUGAACCCGGGAGGUGGAGGUUGCAGUUAGCCGAGAUCACACCACUGCACUUCAACCUGGGCAAUAGAGCAAGACCCUGUCUCAA